rnacentral:lncRNA from 1 species
GCCCGCACAUCUACAACGUGGAAGACCUUGGAAUUAAUAUUUUGUGGAGAGAUUUGGAUUUAUAUCUCAUCUAAUCAGUCAUCACAUAACUGAUGUAAUUGGCAUGGGCUAAAUCAAACCACCAAGCAACUAUAUUUGUGACUCAAUCUUUCAAAAUGACCAGGUAAGUGGAGAUUAGUGGGGGUCCCCCGUUGCUUUCUUUAGACACUAAUAAAUUGACCAGAUAAGCGAACGGAACCAAUUAAAUAACCACCUUUCAAUUACUUGCCUUAGACACCAAUUG